CGAGUAGGGCUACACACGUGCUACAAUGGCAUAUACAAAGAGAAGCGACCUCGCGAGAGCAAGCGGACCUCAUAAAGUAUGUCGUAGUCCGGAUUGGAGUCUGCAACUCGACUCCAUGAAGUCGGAAUCGCUAGUAAUCGUAGAUCAGAAUGCUACGGUGAAUACGUUCCCGGGCCUUGUACACACCGCCCGUCACACCAUGGGAGUGGGUUGCAAAAGAAGUAGGUAGCUUAACCUUCGGGAGGGCGCUUACCACUUUGUGAUUCAUGACUGGGGUGAAGUCGUAACAAGGUAACCGUAGGGGAACCUGCGGUUGGAUCACCUCCUUA
rnacentral:rRNA from 1 species